CAAACCUCAAACUGCCAGCAACAUGAACUCCACCUUCGAUCGACAACUACUUCAUCUCCUCAAACCUCAAACUACUACAUCAUCAUCUCUCUAAUCUCUUCUUUUCACUUCUCUACCCCAGCAGCCCAGUCUCAAAAUCAUCCUAAAUUACCAGCACCAAACUCCUUCAUCUUGGGUUUUCAAUCGAUCAGGUUUUGUUGAGCUCACUUCAAUCCAAAGUUGCUUUAGUAUUACCCAAAAGGUGUCGAGGUUUUGUUGAUCUCCAGACUUCAACCCAGAAAUUGCUCUAGUAUCAUUAAAAAGGUGUCCAGGUUGUGUUCAUCGCCACACUUCAACCAGAAUUGCUUAAGUAGUACUGAAAAAGUGUCCAGGU